UUGAAUUAAAAUGAAUUAGAAGUUAGAUGUUAGAUGUUAGCAAUUAGUAGUUAGGAUUGCAAGGAAUUGAAAUUGUAAGAAGAAAAUCAAAUCAUAAUGCUAAAAAAUGAAAUGGCAUAUAAAUAACAUCAAGAUGACAUAAUCGAGAUCAAACGUGUGAAUAAUAUUGAGAAAUUAAAACAAAAAAAAUAUAAUAAAACAAAGAAUAAUAAAAGGAAAUGCAAGGGAGGGUGUACGCUAUCAACACAAGAGGUAAAAGUAUAAAAAAACUAAAGGAAAUAAAAAAAAGAACAAAAAUAAAUAGAUAAAGCAAUAAUAAGAAAAUAAUAAAUAAAAAAAGGACAAAAGAUAAAAACAGACCAGGGGUGUACCUAGAAAAAUG
rnacentral:lncRNA from 1 species